UACGAAGGGGGCUAGCGUUGUUCGGAAUCACUGGGCGUAGAGCGCACGUAGGCGGACUUUCAAGUCAGGGGUGAAAUCCCGGAGCUCAACUUCGGAAUUGCCUUUGAUACUGUUGGUCUCGAGUCCGGAAGAGGUGGGUGGAAUUCCUAGUGUAGAGGUGAAAUUCAUAGAUAUUAGGAAGAACACCGGUGGCGAAGGCGGCCCACUGGUCCGGUACUGACGCUGAGGUGCGAAAGCGUGGGGAGCAAACAGG
rnacentral:rRNA from 1 species